GGUUUUGCCCAGUUCGAUCCAAUCUCUAAUCUAAUGUUGAUAGGAAAGAAACGAAAGCUUCUUCGCGUACCGUCACUAACAAGGAAACCAGAUCAGAGACAAGAACUGCAACCUAAUUUUCCAUGCAGAUUCCAUUCACUCCCACAAGUCUUGGUAACUCAUAUUCUCUCAAGUCUUUGUUUCAAGACGGUCGCCAUAUGCAGGUGCGUUUGCAAAGCAUGGCUUUCUAUUACUUCCGCCCCCAAAUUUGCCCAUCUCCACUAUUCAAAAUCUAUCGGCACCCUUGGUUUUUUGAACCAAGCCUUGAAUGUCACCUACAUAAAAGAAGCAGCAUGUGCUGCUUCUGAUAAGUACAUAGAACUGACUUUCGAGGAUAUCUUAAGAGAGAGGUUUCCCAGUACUUCUAUUUAUUCUCAGUUUAUAAAUUCGUGCAAUGGUUUCAUUUGUUUACAAGGAAAUCAAACAAGGAGUAUUAGAGAUGAGAAGAGGUUUUAUGUGUGCAACCCGGUUACGGGCGAGUUCAUCACUAUCCCGCUACCUAAGGAAAAGUAUAUAGAAUCGGAUGCAUUUGUGGGACUUGGUUUUAGCGCUGUGACCAAUGAGUACAAGGUGUUGCAAACGAGCACCUCCGUUUACGACCGGGAGGAGAAAAAGGCUGAGAUUUAUACAAUCGGUAGUAGAGGAGUGUGGAGAAGUAUUGGAAAGGCUCCUGUGCAACAUGUUGAAUUACCUAUGAAUUCUUAUUUGCACGGAGCUCUUCAUUGGGCUCCAUCGCUUUCGGUUUUUUCUUCUACAGGCGAGUGUAUACAUUCUUUCGACUUUGAAAAAGAGGAGUUUCGACGACUACCCCUACCAAGCUGCGUUGUACACGUGGAGGAGUCAUGGUACGGGGAGAAGGCAUGGAAGUUGGGGGUGCUACAAGGUUGUCUCUUUUUAGGUGUGCCGGGUGAAGAUCAUUAUAACGAAUGUGACGUGUGGGUUAUGAAGGAUUACGGUGUUCAAGAGUCUUGGACUAAAGUUUUUGUUAUAAAAAACUUGCUCCUGGAGACAUUGUGUAGACCAUAUUUUGAACCGCUUAUGUUUUUGAGUGAUGGGAGCAUUCUAAUAUCAUUUUGUAAUGAAGUUUUGAUUUCUUAUAACCAAGAAACGGAGAGUUACUUGAAAAUCCAAGGUUACUUGGGAAGGAUAACUGCUUACCAUCCAAGCUUUGUUUCCCUUUGCACUGUUUCAAAUGGAGCGGAUGUUGAAAGGAUAAGAGAUAGUAAGAUGUACGACAAGUUGUGUGCUGAAUCUUAUGAUGACUCUGCUGUUUAUGAGGUGGUGCCACCCCACGAUUCCGAAAAACGUAACACCUGCUCCGACCAGUCUGCUUUUGUAGAGGGUCUUUCUAAGGCCACAAAAUCCUCUCUGGAUUCCCCUUGGAGGAUUGGGACUCAAUGUGCUCGAUGUGAUGGGAACCUGGGUUAUGUUUUCAGAGGCAAGGGGUUCGCAGUGUGUGAAAAUUGCUUCAACAAAGGUUCCUUCUGAAGACUGCACGUUAAAAGGUUCCUCCAUGGCUUUCAUCUUUCUUUUCGUUAUAUAACGAAACAUAGUAUUUCUAGAGAACAGUGUUGACUUAUCUCUGAGACGCACUGAUGGAUGAACCCUGUGAUGGUCGAUAAUAUCUCCGAAAAUUACCGAGUUUAAAUUCUAAUCUACAUGGCUGCAUGGUUGACCGUAUCAUCCACGUGGCACGGCCGAUGUACCAAAGUCCUCAUCCACG